AUAUGGUCAAGUGAAUAAGUGCAUACGGUGGAUGCCUUGGCAGUCAGAGGCGAUGAAAGACGUGAUAGCCUGCGAUAAGCUUCGGGGAGGUGGCAAAUAACCUUUGAUCCGGAGAUCUCUGAAUGGGGAAACCCACUUAGCAUAAGCUAGGUAUCUUACACUGAAUACAUAGGUGUAAGAGGCGAACCGGGAGAACUGAAACAUCUAAGUACCCCGAGGAAAAGAAAUCAACCGAGAUUCCCUAAGUAGUGGCGAGCGAACGGGGAGCAGCCCUUAAGCUUCUUUGAUCUUAAUAGAACGCUCUGGAAAGUGCGGCCAUAGUGGGUGAUAGCCCCGUAUAUGAAAAGGUCUUAGAAGUGAAAUCGAGUAGGACGGGGCACGUGAAACCUUGUCUGAACAUGGGGGGACCAUCCUCCAAGGCUAAAUACUACUGACUGACCGAUAGUGAACCAGUACCGUGAGGGAAAGGCGAAAAGAACCCCUGUGAGGGGAGUGAAAUAGAACCUGAAACCGUAUGCAUACAAGCAGUGGGAGCAGACUUUGUUCUGUGACUGCGUACCUUUUGUAUAAUGGGUCAGCGACUUAUAUUCAGUGGCGAGCUUAACCGAAUAGGGGAGGCGUAGGGAAACCGAGUCUUAAUAGGGCGUUUAGUCGCUGGGUAUAGACCCGAAACCGGGCGAUCUAUCCAUGAGCAGGUUGAAGGUGCCGUAACAGGCACUGGAGGACCGAACCCACUCCCGUUGAAAAGGUAGGGGAUGACUUGUGGAUAGGAGUGAAAGGCUAAUCAAGCUCGGAGAUAGCUGGUUCUCCUCGAAAGCUAUUUAGGUAGCGCCUCACGUAUCACUCCAGGGGGUAGAGCACUGUUUCGGCUAGGGGGUCAUCCCGACUUACCAAACCGAUGCAAACUCCGAAUACCUGGAAGUGCAGCGUGGGAGACACACGGCGGGUGCUAACGUCCGUCGUGAAAAGGGAAACAACCCAGACCGUCAGCUAAGGUCCCAAAGUUCUAGUUAAGUGGGAAACGAUGUGGGAAGGCUUAGACAGCUAGGAGGUUGGCUUAGAAGCAGCCACCCUUUAAAGAAAGCGUAAUAGCUCACUAGUCGAGUCGGCCUGCGCGGAAGAUGUAACGGGGCUCAAACUAGACACCGAAGCUACGGGUUCACACUAUGUGUGAGCGGUAGAGGAGCGUUCUGUAAGCCUGUGAAGGUGAGUUGAGAAGCUUGCUGGAGGUAUCAGAAGUGCGAAUGCUGACAUGAGUAACGACAAUGGGAGUGAAAAACUCCCACGCCGAAAGACCAAGGUUUCCUGCGCAACGUUAAUCGACGCAGGGUGAGUCGGCCCCUAAGGCGAGGCAGAAAUGCGUAGUCGAUGGGAAGCAGGUUAAUAUUCCUGCACUUCUAAUUACUGCGAUGGAGGGACGGAGAAGGCUAGGCCAGCACGGCGUUGGUUGUCCGUGUUUAAGGUUGUAGGCUGAGAUUUUAGGCAAAUCCGGAAUCUCAAGGCCGAGAGCUGAUGACGAGCACUCUUUUAGAGAGCGAAGUGGUUGAUGCCAUGCUUCCAGGAAAAGCUUCUAAGCUUCAGGUAAUUAGGAACCGUACCCCAAACCGACACAGGUGGUCGGGUAGAGAAUACCAAGGCGCUUGAGAGAACUCGGGUGAAGGAACUAGGCAAAAUGGCACCGUAACUUCGGGAGAAGGUGCGCCGGUGAGGGUGAAGUAUUUACUGCGUAAGCCCACGCCGGUCGAAGAUACCAGGCCGCUGCGACUGUUUAUUAAAAACACAGCACUCUGCAAACACGAAAGUGGACGUAUAGGGUGUGACGCCUGCCCGGUGCCGGAAGGUUAAUUGAUGGGGUUAGCGCAAGCGAAGCUCUUGAUCGAAGCCCCGGUAAACGGCGGCCGUAACUAUAACGGUCCUAAGGUAGCGAAAUUCCUUGUCGGGUAAGUUCCGACCUGCACGAAUGGCGUAACGAUGGCGGCGCUGUCUCCACCCGAGACUCAGUGAAAUUGAAAUCGCUGUGAAGAUGCAGUGUAUCCGCGGCUAGACGGAAAGACCCCGUGAACCUUUACUAUAGCUUUGCACUGGACUUUGAAUUUACUUGUGUAGGAUAGCUGGGAGGCUUUGAAGCG
rnacentral:rRNA from 2 species